rnacentral:rRNA from 1 species
UACGUAGGGGGCUAGCGUUGUCCGGAUUUAUUGGGCGUAAAGAGCGUGUAGGCGGCCAGGUAGGUGGGUUGUGAAAACUGGAGGCUCAACCUUCAGACGUCGACCCAAACCCCCCUGGCUAGAGUCCGGAAGAGGAGAGUGGAAUUCCUGGUGUAGCGGUGAAAUGCGCAGAUAUCAGGAAGAACACCCGUGGCGAAGGCGGUUCUCUGGGCCUGACCUGACGCUGAGGAGCGAAAGCGUGGGGAGCGAACAGG